rnacentral:rRNA from 1 species
UUGAAAUAAGCUUUUAAGGGCAGAUGGUGGAUGCCUUGGCAAAGAGAGGCGAUGAAGGACGUACUAGACUGCGAUAAGCUAUGGGGAGCUGUCAAGAAGCUUUGAUCCAUAGAUUUCCGAAUGGGGCAACCCGGCUAGCAGCGAUGCUAGUCACCUUUAAUGGAGCGAACGUUGGGAAGUGAAACAUCUCAGUACCAACAGGAAAAGAAAUCAAACGAGAUUCCCCUAGUAGCGGCGAGCGAACGGGGAGAAGGGCAAACCAAGUGCUUGCACUUGGGGUUGUGGACUGCAAUAGCCACUUCAAUCACUUAGCAGAACAAGUUGGAAAGCUAAGCCAUAGAGGGUGAUAGCCCCGUAUGCGAAAAGUGAUUGAUAGGUAGCAGUAUCCAGAGUAGGUCAGGACACGUGAAAUCCGGACUGAAGCAGGGGAGACCACUCUCCAACCCUAAAUACUCCUCUUUGACCGAUAGCGAACAAGUACCGUGAGGGAAAGGUGAAAAGAACCGCAGUGAGCGGAGUGAAAUAGAACCUGAAACCAUCUGCCUACAAUCAUUCAGAGCCCUAUGAUUUAUCAGGGUGAUGGACUGCCUUUUGCAUAAUGAUCCUGCGAGUUGUGGUGUCUGGCAAGGUUAAGCAAACGCGAAGCCGUAGCGAAAGCGAGUCUGAAUAGGGCGUAAGCCAGCUCUUUUAUACCCAUAAAACUUAGGAAAAUUCUUCUUGUGGCAAUCUUUGCGGGAGUCUGCGAAAAAUGCUUAGUCAUUACCGAUAAGGUAACUCCUUACGCAUUUUUCUUGACAACCUACAAAUCUUAUCCACAAUGCUAGAAUUUUCUGAUAGUAAAGUUUUAUGUAGGAAAUUCUAAGAUUUUUAGAUGAUUUGAGUAGUUUUGCAAAUGAGUGCGCCGGGAGCUACCUUAAGCGGUAGUGACCAAGCACGAAUGAAGUAAUCUACUCAAAGUGCUAAAAAGAUGAAUUUCUUGUUUUAUGGUUAUAAAUGAGCUGGCUUUAGUCAGAUGCUGCAGACCCGAAGCUAAGUGAUCUAUCCAUGGCCAAGUUGAAACGAGUGUAAUAGCUCGUGGAGGACUGAACUCGUACCCAUUGAAACGGGUUGGGAUGAGCUGUGGAUAGGGGUGAAAGGCCAAACAAACUUAGUGAUAGCUGGUUCUCUUCGAAAUAUAUUUAGGUAUAGCCUCAAGUGAUAGUAAUAGGGGGUAGAGCUCUGAUUGGGCUAGGGCUGCUCACCGCGGUACCAAACCCUGUCAAACUUCGAAUACCUAUUACCCUAUCUUGGGAGUCAGGCGGUGGGUGAUAAAAUCAAUCGUCGAAAGGGGAACAACCCAGACUGGCAAAUAAGGUCCCAAAGUUCUAUUCUGAGUGGAAAAAGAUGUGUAGUUACUCAGACAACCAGGAGGUUGGCUUAGAAGCAGCCAUCCUUUAAAGAAAGCGUAACAGCUCACUGGUCUAGUGAUUAUGCGCUGAAAAUAUAACGGGGCUAAGAUAGACACCGAAUUUCCAGAUUGUGCUGAUGCACAGUGGUAGAAGAGCGUUCGUAUCAGCGUUGAAGGCAUACCGGUAAGGAGUGCUGGAGCGAUGCGAAGUGAGCAUGCAGGAAUGAGUAGCGAUAAAAUAUGUGAGAAUCAUAUUCGCCGUAAAUCUAAGGUUUCCUACGCUAUGCUCGUCAUCGUAGGGUUAGUCGGGUCCUAAGACAAGUCAGAAAUGGGUAGUCGAUGGAAAAUAGGUUAAUAUUCCUAUACCAACCAUUGUGUGCGAUGGGGGGACGCAUAGGGUUAAGCGAGCCAGCGGAUGGAAGUGCUGGUCGAAGGGCGUAGAUUGGAGGAUAGGCAAAUCCACCUCUGUAUUCGAAACCUUACAGGCUUCUUGAAACCUUCGGGUCGAUAGGAGAAUCGCUGAUACCGUCGUGCCAAGAAAAGCCUCUAAGUUUAGCAAUGGUUGCCCGUACCGCAAACCGACACAGGUAGAUGAGAUGAGUAUUCUAAGGCGCGUGAAAGAACUCUCCUUAAGGAACUCUGCAAACUAGCACCGUAAGUUCGCGAUAAGGUGUGCCUGAGCAAUCAGGUCUCAGCAAAGAGUCCCUCCCGACUGUUUACCAAAAACACAGCACUUUGCAAACUCGUAAGAGGAAGUAUAAGGUGUGACGCCUGCCCGGUGCUCGAAGGUUAAGAGGAUCAGUCAGCAGCAAUGCGAAGCUUUGAAUUGAAGCCCGAGUAAACGGCGGCCGUAACUAUAACGGUCCUAAGGUAGCGAAAUUCCUUGUCGGUUAAAUACCGACCUGCAUGAAUGGCGUAACGAGAUGGGAGCUGUCUCAAGGAGAGAUUCAGUGAAAUUGUAGUGGAGGUGAAAAUUCCUCCUACCCGCGGCAAGACGGAAAGACCCCGUGGACCUUUACUACAGCUUGGCACUGCCGAUGGGAGCAUUAUGCGCAGGAUAGGUGGGAGGCUUUGAAAUCUUCACUCCGGUGGGGAUGGAGCCAUCCUUGAGAUACCACCCUUAAUGUUUCUGUCUGCUAACUAGCUUGAGUUAUCCUCAAGUAGGACAAUGCCUGGUGGGUAGUUUGACUGGGGCGGUCGCCUCCUAAAAAGUAACGGAGGCUUGCAAAGGUUGGCUCAUUGCGGUUGGAAAUCGCAAGUUGAGUGUAAUGGCAUAAGCCAGCCUGACUGUAAGACAAACAAGUCGAGCAGAGACGAAAGUCGGUCAUAGUGAUCCGGUGGUUCUGUGUGGAAGGGCCAUCGCUCAAAGGAUAAAAGGUACCCCGGGGAUAACAGGCUGAUCUCCCCCAAGAGCUCACAUCGACGGGGAGGUUUGGCACCUCGAUGUCGGCUCAUCGCAUCCUGGGGCUGGAGCAGGUCCCAAGGGUAUGGCUGUUCGCCAUUUAAAGCGGUACGCGAGCUGGGUUCAGAACGUCGUGAGACAGUUCGGUCCCUAUCUGCCGUGGGCGUAGGAAAGUUGAGGAGAGCUGUCCCUAGUACGAGAGGACCGGGAUGGACGUGCCACUAGUGUACCAGUUGUUCUGCCAAGAGCACCGCUGGGUAGCUACGCACGGAUGUGAUAACCGCUGAAAGCAUCUAAGCGGGAAGCCAACUCCAAGAUAAACUUUCCCUGAAGGUCGCAGGAAGACUACCUGCUUGAUAGGGUAGAUGUGUAAGUGCAGUAAUGCAUUCAGCUGACUACUACUAAUCGACCGUUUGGCUUAUUUUU